rnacentral:rRNA from 1 species
GGUUAAGCGACUAAGCGUACACGGUGGAUGCCCUGGCAGUCAGAGGCGAUGAAGGACGUGCUAAUCUGCGAUAAGCGUCGGUAAGGUGAUAUGAACCGUUAUAACCGGCGAUUUCCGAAUGGGGAAACCCAGUGUGUUUCGACACACUAUCAUUAACUGAAUCCAUAGGUUAAUGAGGCGAACCGGGGGAACUGAAACAUCUAAGUACCCCGAGGAAAAGAAAUCAACCGAGAUUCCCCCAGUAGCGGCGAGCGAACGGGGAGGAGCCCAGAGCCUGAAUCAGUGUGUGUGUUAGUGGAAGCGUCUGGAAAGGCGCGCGAUACAGGGUGACAGCCCCGUACACAAAAAUGCACAUGCUGUGAGCUCGAUGAGUAGGGCGGGACACGUGGUAUCCUGUCUGAAUAUGGGGGGACCAUCCUCCAAGGCUAAAUACUCCUGACUGACCGAUAGUGAACCAGUACCGUGAGGGAAAGGCGAAAAGAACCCCGGCGAGGGGAGUGAAAAAGAACCUGAAACCGUGUACGUACAAGCAGUGGGAGCACGCUUAGGCGUGUGACUGCGUACCUUUUGUAUAAUGGGUCAGCGACUUAUAUUCUGUAGCAAGGUUAACCGAAUAGGGGAGCCGAAGGGAAACCGAGUCUUAACUGGGCGUUAAGUUGCAGGGUAUAGACCCGAAACCCGGUGAUCUAGCCAUGGGCAGGUUGAAGGUUGGGUAACACUAACUGGAGGACCGAACCGACUAAUGUUGAAAAAUUAGCGGAUGACUUGUGGCUGGGGGUGAAAGGCCAAUCAAACCGGGAGAUAGCUGGUUCUCCCCGAAAGCUAUUUAGGUAGCGCCUCGUGAAUUCAUCUCCGGGGGUAGAGCACUGUUUCGGCAAGGGGGUCAUCCCGACUUACCAACCCGAUGCAAACUGCGAAUACCGGAGAAUGUUAUCACGGGAGACACACGGCGGGUGCUAACGUCCGUCGUGAAGAGGGAAACAACCCAGACCGCCAGCUAAGGUCCCAAAGUCAUGGUUAAGUGGGAAACGAUGUGGGAAGGCCCAGACAGCCAGGAUGUUGGCUUAGAAGCAGCCAUCAUUUAAAGAAAGCGUAAUAGCUCACUGGUCGAGUCGGCCUGCGCGGAAGAUGUAACGGGGCUAAACCAUGCACCGAAGCUGCGGCAGCGACGCUUAUGCGUUGUUGGGUAGGGGAGCGUUCUGUAAGCCUGCGAAGGUGUGCUGUGAGGCAUGCUGGAGGUAUCAGAAGUGCGAAUGCUGACAUAAGUAACGAUAAAGCGGGUGAAAAGCCCGCUCGCCGGAAGACCAAGGGUUCCUGUCCAACGUUAAUCGGGGCAGGGUGAGUCGACCCCUAAGGCGAGGCCGAAAGGCGUAGUCGAUGGGAAACAGGUUAAUAUUCCUGUACUUGGUGUUACUGCGAAGGGGGGACGGAGAAGGCUAUGUUGGCCGGGCGACGGUUGUCCCGGUUUAAGCGUGUAGGCUGGUUUUCCAGGCAAAUCCGGAAAAUCAAGGCUGAGGCGUGAUGACGAGGCACUACGGUGCUGAAGCAACAAAUGCCCUGCUUCCAGGAAAAGCCUCUAAGCAUCAGGUAACAUCAAAUCGUACCCCAAACCGACACAGGUGGUCAGGUAGAGAAUACCAAGGCGCUUGAGAGAACUCGGGUGAAGGAACUAGGCAAAAUGGUGCCGUAACUUCGGGAGAAGGCACGCUGAUAUGUAGGUGAAGUCCCUUGCGGAUGGAGCUGAAAUCAGUCGAAGAUACCAGCUGGCUGCAACUGUUUAUUAAAAACACAGCACUGUGCAAACACGAAAGUGGACGUAUACGGUGUGACGCCUGCCCGGUGCCGGAAGGUUAAUUGAUGGGGUCAGCGCAAGCGAAGCUCUUGAUCGAAGCCCCGGUAAACGGCGGCCGUAACUAUAACGGUCCUAAGGUAGCGAAAUUCCUUGUCGGGUAAGUUCCGACCUGCACGAAUGGCGUAAUGAUGGCCAGGCUGUCUCCACCCGAGACUCAGUGAAAUUGAACUCGCUGUGAAGAUGCAGUGUACCCGCGGCAAGACGGAAAGACCCCGUGAACCUUUACUAUAGCUUGACACUGAACAUUGAGCCUUGAUGUGUAGGAUAGGUGGGAGGCUUUGAAGUGUGGACGCCAGUCUGCAUGGAGCCGACCUUGAAAUACCACCCUUUAAUGUUUGAUGUUCUAACGUUGACCCGUAAUCCGGGUUGCGGACAGUGUCUGGUGGGUAGUUUGACUGGGGCGGUCUCCUCCUAAAGAGUAACGGAGGAGCACGAAGGUUGGCUAAUCCUGGUCGGACAUCAGGAGGUUAGUGCAAUGGCAUAAGCCAGCUUGACUGCGAGCGUGACGGCGCGAGCAGGUGCGAAAGCAGGUCAUAGUGAUCCGGUGGUUCUGAAUGGAAGGGCCAUCGCUCAACGGAUAAAAGGUACUCCGGGGAUAACAGGCUGAUACCGCCCAAGAGUUCAUAUCGACGGCGGUGUUUGGCACCUCGAUGUCGGCUCAUCACAUCCUGGGGCUGAAGUAGGUCCCAAGGGUAUGGCUGUUCGCCAUUUAAAGUGGUACGCGAGCUGGGUUUAGAACGUCGUGAGACAGUUCGGUCCCUAUCUGCCGUGGGCGCUGGAGAACUGAGGGGGGCUGCUCCUAGUACGAGAGGACCGGAGUGGACGCAUCACUGGUGUUCGGGUUGUCAUGCCAAUGGCACUGCCCGGUAGCUAAAUGCGGAAGAGAUAAGUGCUGAAAGCAUCUAAGCACGAAACUUGCCCCGAGAUGAGUUCUCCCUGACUCCUUGAGAGUCCUGAAGGAACGUUGAAGACGACGACGUUGAUAGGCCGGGUGUGUAAGCGCAGCGAUGCGUUGAGCUAACCGGUACUAAUGAACCGUGAGGCUUAACCUU